rnacentral:rRNA from 1 species
GACAAACGCUGGCGGCGUGCUUAACACAUGCAAGUCGAACGAUGAAGCUGGAGCUUGCUCCAGUGGAUUAGUGGCGAACGGGUGAGUAACACGUGAGCAAUCUGCCCUUGACUCUGGGAUAACUGCGGGAAACUGUAGCUAAUACCGGAUACGACACCUUGGGGCAUCCCGGGGUGUGGAAAGAAUUUCGGUCAAGGAUGAGCUCGCGGCCUAUCAGCUUGUUGGUGAGGUAAAGGCUCACCAAGGCGACGACGGGUAGCCGGCCUGAGAGGGUGACUGGCCACACUUGAACUGGGACACGGUCCAGACUCCUACGGGAGGCAGCAGGGGGGAAUAUUGCACAAUGGGCGAAAGCCUGAUGCAGCAACGCCGCGUGAGGGAUGACGGCCUUCGGGUUGUAAACCUCUUUUAGCAGGGAAGAAGCGAAAGUGACGGUACCUGCAGAAAAAGCACCGGCUAACUACGUGCCAGCAGCCGCCGUAA